AGUGAACGCUGGCGGCGGGCCUAACACAUGCAAGUCGAACGAACAUACCGGGAGUGUGUGCCUCUGCGGGUGGCGGCUGACGGACGGGUAACACAUGGAUCGCAUACCUCUAAGACUGGGGUGAUAUCGCGGAACCGGCGCUACUACCGGAUCAUAUAUCGAACGUCAUGGGGCAAUCGUGCGAGUCGCUUUUGGUGUUAGUUAUAGACGCAUCCGGGAUGCAUUAGCUAGUUGGUAAGGUAACGGCUUACCAAGGAGACGAAGCGUAGCAGAGCUGAAAGAGUGAUCGGCCACACUGGAACUGAGACACGGCCCAGACUCCGACGGGAGGCAGCAGUAGGGAAUCUUACGCGAUGGGGGAGAGCCUGACGGAGCAACGCCGCGUGAGUGAUGAAGGUCUUCGGAUCGUAAAACGCUGUUGUUAGGAAAGAAAAAAAGUGCAUUUACCUAUGCCCGUAUUGACGGUACCCAAAGAAGAAGCCCCGGCUAACUACGUG
rnacentral:rRNA from 1 species